rnacentral:lncRNA from 1 species
UUCAAACAAAACCUAAAUGUGGACUUAGUUCUGAGGUGAACCUAAAUGUGGUUACACGAAGUGUUCAUUGAGGAGAUGUACGUUACUUCUGAGUAAUGUUUUUGUUUAUUCUCUGUUGAUGAUUGCCCUCGAUCCUCAUAAUUUUUUGGGAUCUACUUGUAAAACUUGAUGAUUUUAUUGAAUUAUUCAGUCGAAAAAAAAAAAAAGAACAAUAGAAGUGUAAUUGAACCAAGAUAAUAGGAGUGAUAUUUUGAAUUGGGGUUUUCAAAACAUAAUAUAUAAUUUGGG